CAUUCCAACCUCCAGGGUUCCCUCCUCCAUGUCAAUAUUGUUGUUUUCCGCACCCAUAUUUUAACCUGAAAAUUAACAAACAAAGAAAAUGAAGCAACAUCCUAUGCCCGCAAGUACUGAUAAAUCACUUUACAAUUGAUCAUCAGAUCACAUCUCAUUACAUAAACAAGAAAGCAUCAAAAUGCCAAGAUGAGCAGCAGAGACGGAUACAAAAAUUCAAAUCAGCAGCAGGUGCUAAAUAUUACCACACUCACUAUUUAGUAUAGAAAAAUUUCCAACUAUACAUAAACUGUGAGCCAAAGGCCUAAAAAGCUAGGGCAGUAACAAACAGAGAUAUCAACAGUAAUAAAACAGAGCAAUUAGGAGAUACAUACAAAUAAAAUUAUUACUUAUGGGUAAAGUCAAAGGCAGUGGAUUGUGUAGAGAUGUGUCGCAGUGAGAUCGAAGGGUUGUAAAUUGCGUUAACUAAAUGGAAAGGUGAAGAAUGGAAGAUUGGAGAAUGGAUCUGUAAGAAAAAGGUAAGUACCUUUUCUGCUUCUGAAUCCAAGACAGAGCAAGAGAAUAGAGGAGAGAGAGAGAGAGAGAGAGAGAGAGAGAGAGAGAGAGAGAGAGAGGAGAAAUGGAACCGAGAUCUAAUGGUGGAGAUAAAUAAUUAAUACUACUCCAGCAGUUUGUAAAUGAAAUGAGACCAUGAGAAGAUGGAGGUGGUUUUGUU
rnacentral:lncRNA from 1 species